CGGGAUGUAGCUCAGCCUGGUUAGAGCGCCGCGUUUGGGACGCGGAGGCCGCCGGUUCGAAUCCGGCCGUCCCGA
rnacentral:tRNA from 1 species